UUUUUUUUUUUUUUUUUUUUAAGCAAGCCCCCAACACCAUAGAAAAUUCUUGAUUUGCUCGGAGGAUAAUUGGAUGAAGGAUUAUUUUCUUCUUUGUUUAUGUGCAAGAAAUGAAAAUAAGGAAUUGCUUUGAUCAGACAACUUCUUAUCUUUGUGGUAGAAACAGAACUGCCCUUCUUGGAGUGGCUCUGCCUCUGAGAUCACUACAGGGGAGACAGCAUGCCCUGUUCAGCUGGCUGAAUAUUUGGCAACAAUCUCCUGAAGCAGCUGGAAUUGACAAGAAGUACUGGAGAUUAGCUCGGGCCAAACCCUUACAUCUGGCCUGACUACUGCUGCAGUCUGCCUCAACUUACCCCUAAAGCUGGGGAGAUGCCACCCACCCACAUCUUUGCUACACAUGCCAUCAUGAGCUAGAGUUCACCCUUUCUCCUUAAAGCCCUAUUUACUUUUCUACUUCAACUUUAAAACAAAAUUAAAAUGUGAGGAUAUCCCUGAAUUUUAAAAAGCAUGAAGUAAAAAUGCAAAUUAGUAUAGUUUGUUUAAUACAUUACAUAUAGACCUAAAGAAAGUUCAUCAGGGUUAAUCAUUUGUCACAUCAUUCUAUACCCAGGGCUAUCAGCUAUCAAUUUUCCUUUUUUUUUUUUUUUUAAUUCAGGAUCCAGCUCUGUCACCCAGGCUGGAGUGCAGUAUCAAAGUAUCAUUUCUCUUACUUCAAAUUAUUACAUUUUAUUCUGUACAUUGAUUCUGAACUCCUAAUAUAAUAUUUAUGUCCUGUAUUUGCAGGCCAUUGGUUUUUUUAAAGUCAUAAAUCAAAAUGAUGCCAGAAAAUCAAAGAUGCCCAAGAUGUUGGGCUUCUCUUUUGCCAGCCACAUUGGUAGCACUCUCCUGCCCUGGCCUCCAAGCUGGUGGGGAUCUGUGAUGUUUGUGAAAAUGGGCUUAUGCCAGGCGCAGUGGCUCACGCCUAUAAUCCCAGCACUUUGGGAGGCCGAGGCGGGCAGAUCGGUUCAGGUCAGGAGAUCGAGACCAGCCUGGCCAACAUGGUGAAACCCCAUCUCUACUAAAAAUACAAAAAAUUAGCCAGGUGUGGUGGCACAUGCCUGUAAUCCCAGCUACUCAGGAGGCUGAGGCAGGAGAAUCACUUGAAACCUGGGAGGCGGAGGUUGCAGUGAGCAGAGAUCGUGCCAUUACACUCCAGCCUGGGCUACAGAGUGAGACUCUGUGUCAAAAAAAAAAAAGAAAGAAAAUGGGCUUGUGUGGUAGCAGGUAAGAAAUUGAAUCUCUGUUGUACAGCAGCUAGCUGUACUGCAUGAUCACUUCCCAUUCCCCAGCUGACAGUGGCUGUCUCUGGAACUCCUACCACAGUCUUCAAUUGGUAGGCCAGCCCUGGUGCCAGUGAUUUUAUCUGGGCAUGGAAAAUGCCACUUGCUUCUGUGGAAGAGACACUUAAAAGAUCUGGCAGUCGGCCGGGUGCGGUGGCUCACGCCUAUAAUCCCAACACUCUGGGAGGUCAAGGCAGGCGGAUCACGAGGUCAGGAGAUGGAGACCAUCCUGGCUAACACGGUGAAACCCUGUCUCUACUAAAAAAAAAAAUAAAAAAUUAGCUGGGCGAGGUGGCGGGCGCCUGUAGUCCCAGCUACUCUGGAGGCUGAGGCAGGAGAAUGGCGUGAACCCAGGAGGCGGAGCUUGCAGUGAUCCGAGAUCACACCACUGCACUGCAGUCUGGGCAACAGAGCGAGACUCCAUCUCAAAAAAAAAAAAAAAA
rnacentral:lncRNA from 1 species